GAGUAUGUAUCCAUAUAGCAUCCAACUCCAACCAUAACUUGGCUGAAAUCAGGGGAGCAAAAAUACAAAUGUCAUCAUGUGAUUCCUAUUUAGAUACGGCUGUGGGAUACGUAAUGUACGAAGGAGAUUGAUUUUGUUAAGGCACUUGGGCCCUGAACAAAGUUGAGCAUUUUGUAUCGAAACGAACGUCAUAUUAAUCGUCAUAAUACUUUACGACAGUAAAUAAUGCCUGGGAACAGAGUAAAUAACAAACCAUACACUUCUCUUCUGGUUCGUCAACAAGAAGCCAUCAUUGUCAGCUGCUCGUGCAGAACAUGAUGAACAUACAUAUAUGUAUAGUUACUUUUUUUUGGGAAACAUAUACAUAUAUUUCCUAAAUUAAUAAAAAAGUAGGUAAACAAAAACAUGUUUUAUUAUUCACAACUAUUAACUUAAGUCUUGUCCACCAUGAUAUCAGCAGCUUGAACUGCAACAUGUACCUGGAAAUUAGAAAUUAUAUCUUUUUAAAGCAGUUUCAGGCUGAAUUUUGAGUAUGACUAUGUAUUCUUGUAUAGUGUUUCUUUCUAGUAGGCACCAUCUCUGUUUAACGGUUUGCCUUUAUAUACUCUGGCUACAUUACCACAGAAAACACAUAGGUCCCCGCGACCCUACCUACAAAGUGAGCUUUUAAAUAAUUGUAGUAAAAUAAUAUUAAUUUUAUACUUACAUCGACGUGAUCCUCACAGCAAUACUGUGUGUAAGUAGGUAGGUAUUCCAAGUUCAAUUCACGGCACCAUGUUUCACGUCGUAGGUCUUCGCGGAUUCGAACAAUUAUUUUUGUGAAUCAUUCCCACACGUAGGAACAAGGUCUUUGAUAUAUUAAGCAACGAAAACUACUGUUUAGGUAUCAAUUAUAAAUCAAAUCAUAACAAACCAGCGCAGCGGUUUAACUGAAAAAUUUCAUUAUGACAAUGAUAACUUUGACAAUUACGUGAGUGACGGAUUGAUUUACUAUGGUCCGAUAACUUUUAUUAUGCGAUGACUUUACAUUCAGCCAACGAGAAAGGUCAAACUAAGGUCAUAAGGAUAUUUGUUGAAAUAUCUUCAAUCCUCAAUUAUUAUAUCGCAGCAAAUGUCGGAAACUGUUUGAAAACCUUAUAUCUCGAAAUGGUUUUCGAAAUAGAACAUUUAAAAAAAAAUGAACAAUCCUAAUUCU